GCCAGGCGUGGUGGCUCAUGCCUGUAAUCCCAGCUACUCAGGAGGCUGAGGCAGGAGAAUUGCUUGAACCCAGGAGGCAGAGGUUGCAGUGAGCUGAGAUCAUGCCACUGCACUCCAGCCUGGGCUACAGAGCGAGACUCUGUCUUAA
rnacentral:SRP_RNA from 1 species